rnacentral:rRNA from 1 species
GCUAAGAAUAUUCCGCAAUGGACGGAAGUCUGACGGAGCGACGCCGCGUGGAUGAAGAAGGCCGAAAGGUUGUAAAGUUCUUUUGCUGGGGAAGAAUAACCGCAGGAGGGAAUGCCUGUGGGAUGACAAGAACCGGCGAAUAAGCCCCGGCCAACUACGUGCCAGCAGCCGCGGUAACACGUAGGGGGCGAGCGUUGUUCGGAAUUACUGGGCGUAAAGGGCAUGUAGGCGGCUUGGAAAGCCUGGCGUGAAAGUCUGCAGCUUAACUGCAGGGGUGCGCUGGGAACUGCUGAGCUUGAGUGACGGAGAGGGAGCUGGAAUUCCUGGUGUAGGGGUGAAAUCUGUAGAUAUCAGGAAGAACACCGAUGGCGAAGGCAAGCUCCUGGCCGAUGACUGACGCUGAGGUGCGAAAGUGUGGGGAUCAAACAGGAUUAGAAACCCCGGUAGUCC